GAAUAUUGGACAAUGGGCGCAAGCCUGAUCCAGCAAUGCCGCGUGAGUGAAGAAGGCCUUAGGGUUGUAAAGCUCUUUCGGCGGGGAAGAUGAUGACGGUACCCGCAGAAGAAGCCCCGGCUAACUCCGUGCCAGCAGCCGCGGUAAUACGGAGGGGGCUAGCGUUGUUCGGAAUUACUGGGCGUAAAGGGCGCGUAGGCGGUGCGGUAAGUUAGGCGUGAAAGGCCCGGGCUCAACCCGGGAACUGCGCUUAAGACUGCCGUGCUGUGAGUCCGGGAGAGGAUGGCGGAAUUCCCAGUGUAGAGGUGAAAUUCGUAGAUAUUGGGAAGAACACCAGUGGCGAAGGCGGCCAUCUGGCCCGGUACUGACGCUGAGGCGCGAAAGCGUGGGGAGCAAACAG
rnacentral:rRNA from 1 species